AGAGCGAACGCUGGCGGCAGGCUUAACACAUGCAAGUCGAGCGGGCGGUAGCGAAUAACGGUCAGACGGCAGACGGGUGAGUAACGCGUGGGAACAUACCUUUUGGUUCGGAACAACCCAGGGAAACUUGGGCUAAUACCGGAUAAGCCCUUACGGGGAAAGAUUUAUCGCCGAAAGAUUGGCCCGCGUCUGAUUAGCUAGUUGGUGAGGUAACGGCUCACCAAGGCGACGAUCAGUAGCUGGUCUGAGAGGAUGAUCAGCCACAUUGGGACUGAGACACGGCCCAAACUCCUACGGGAGGCAGCAGUGGGGAAUAUUGGACAAUGGGCGCAAGCCUGAUCCAGCCAUGCCGCGUGAGUGAUGAAGGCCCUAGGGUUGUAAAGCUCUUUUGUGCGGGAAGAUAAUGACGGUACCGCAAGAAUAAGCCCCGGCUAACUUCGUGCCAGCAGCCGC
rnacentral:rRNA from 1 species